rnacentral:rRNA from 1 species
UACGGGGGGGGGUAAGCGUUGUUCGGAAUUACUGGGCGUAAAGGGCUCGUAGGCGGCCAACUAAGUCAGACGUGAAAUCCCUCAGCUUAACUGGGGAACUGCGUCUGAUACUGGAUGGCUUGGAUCCGGAAGAGGGAUGCAGAAUUCCAGGUGUAGCGGUGAAAUGCGUAGAUAUCAGGAGGAACACCGGUGGCGAAGGCGGAUCUCUGGGCCUUACCUGACGCUGAGGCGCGAAAGCUAGGGGAGCGAACAGG